UACGAGAGCUCUGAGAUGAACUUUGGUGCUGAGAAUGGCUGCAAAUGUGGAUCAAACUGCACCUGUGAUCCAUGCUCCUGCAAAUGAGAAAACGUCGCCGCAUGGCUCCAACCAAGCAGUUUUAUGGAACUAUAAUAAAUAAAAAGAAGAAGUCUGGUCACUCCAUGUUUGUCUAAUAUAGUAUUUGCUGUAAAUUAAAGUACAGUUAGCUAGCCAUGGCCUCCUCAAAUCCUUUCUACAGGAUCUCAUUUGAUGGCUAGUAAUCUGUAAGUGUCUUGUAUUUCCUGCUGCUUUGUUGGUUCCAUUCCAUGGAAUUAUGUAUCUUUAAUCGGAAGCUUGAUUCUG
rnacentral:lncRNA from 1 species